rnacentral:rRNA from 1 species
GACGAACGCUGGCGGCGUGCCUAAUACAUGCAAGUCGAGCGAAGCGGGGACGGGUGAGGAACACGGGGAAAACCUCCUAUAAGUAUGGGAUAACUUGGGGAAACAGGAGCUAAACCGGCUACUUAUAGAUGGCUCCGCGAUGCAUUAGCUAGUUGGUAAGGUAACGGCUUACCAAGGCAACGAUGCAUACUCGACCUGAGAGUGUGAUCGGCCACACUGGUACUGAGACACGUUCCAGUCUCCUACGGGAGGCAGCAGGAGGGAAUCUUCCGCAAUGGGCGAAAGCCUUACGGAGCAACGCCGCGUGAGUGAGGAAGGUCUUCGGAUCGUAAAACUCUGUUAUUAGUGGAGCGGUACCUAAGCAGAAAGCCACGGCUAACUACGUGCCAGCAGCCGCGGUAAUAC